UGGGGAAUAUUGCACAAUGGGCGCAAGCCUGAUGGAGCCAUGCCGCGUGUGUGAAGAAGGCCUUCGGGUUGUAAAGCACUUUUAGCGGGGAGGAAGGCGAAAAGGAUAAUAACCUCGUCGACUGACGUUACCCGCAGAAGAAGCACCGGCUAACUCCGUGCCAGCAGCCGCGGUAAUACGGAGGGUGCAAGCGUUAAUCGGAAUUACUGGGCGUAAAGCGCACGCAGGCGGUCUGUUAAGUCUGAUGUGAAAUCCCCGGGCUCAACCUGGGAACUGCAUUCGAAACUGGCAGGCUUGAGUCUAGUAGAGGGGGGUAGAAUUCCAGGUGUAGCGGUGAAAUGCGUAGAUAUCUGGAGGAAUACCGGUGGCGAAGGCGGCCCCCUGGUCAUAAACUGACGCUCAGGUGCGAAAGCGUGGGGAGCAAACAGG
rnacentral:rRNA from 1 species